rnacentral:snoRNA from 1 species
AAACCGUGAUGUGGACAUUGUGUAGUGUAGCCUUUGAAUCUCUCCCAGGCCUCACAAAAAGGAUUCAGACUGUUUCUGGGUGAAACUGGAGAUUUCAUUCCUUUAGCCU